rnacentral:rRNA from 1 species
GAUGAACGCUAGCUACAGGCUUAACACAUGCAAGUCGAGGGGUAACGAGAGGAAAGCUUGCUUUCCUUGUCGACGACCGGCGCACGGGUGAGUAACGCGUAUCCAACCUGCCCCCAACUAGGGAAUAACCUUGCGAAAGUAAGACUAAUACCCUAUAAUUUCCUCAGAUGACAUCUGACGAGGAAUAAAGAUUUAUCGGUUGUGGAUGGGGAUGCGUCUGAUUAGCUUGUUGGCGGGGUAACGGCCCACCAAGGCAACGAUCAGUAGGGGUUCUGAGAGGAAGGUCCCCCAGAGUGGAACUGAGACACGGUCCAAACUCCUACGGGAGGCAGCAGUGAGGAAUAUUGGUCAAUGGGCGGAAGCCUGAACCAGCCAAGUAGCGUGCAGGAUGACGGCCCUAUGGGUUGUAAACUGCUUUUAUACAGGAAUAAAGUUAGCCACGUGUGGUUAUUUGUAGGUACUGUAUGAAUAAGGACCGGCUAAUUCCGUGCCAGCCGCCGCUGUAA